CGCACGGCCCGGAGACGCAGCCCCGGCGGCGGCGGCGGGCAGGGCCGAAGUCGCAGAGCUCGACGUGCGCCGCCAGCUCGCGCAGCCCGACCGAGUGGCCGCAGCCGCGGGCGCGGUAGUCGCACUGGGUGCGCAGCUUCUGGACGAGGCUGCGCAGAGGCAGCACCCGGUACAGAUCGCCCGGCGCCAGGGGCUGGCACUGCAGCGGGCACCGGCGCCGCCGCGCCGCCCAGGGCAGCAGGCAGCGGGCGCAGAAGACGUGCCCGCACGGCGUGCACAGGGGCUCCUCCAGCACCUGGCCGCAUAGCCUGCACUGGAAAUCCGGGUCCACCGCUUCGGCGAAGCGCUCCAGGGCAAAGCCCAUGGUAGGGAUGGGGGAAAAGGGGAAGCGAACGAGGAGUCCACUUUCUCCGAACCCCUUGUCCCCCCACGAACUACCCCAGGGACAGUGCACCCGCUGCGAUGGCUCGUCGGAGGGGAGGAGAAGGGUGAGGGAUUGUGAUCUCAGAGUUUGUUAGGCUUGAAGUUUUCUGGCUCUGACUAGGUCCCCUGACUCUGCCGUAUUGAUACGAAUAGACGCCACUUCCAGUGGCCUCCCUCCCCCCCAACCCCCCACUCCCAACCUGCCCACUCCUUCGCUGCUCUGCAAUUUAUGUUCUUUCAAAUUUUGUCUGCGGAGAGCUGAGGCCAGCUUACAGUGGUCCUUUGGAAAGCUGUGUGCCCGUUUGCCUGAACAGUGAGAUUCAAGCAGUCCUUGGGCAGAGCUGGUAAUGGGCACAGCGCGGGUGUUGAGAAACAGCACAACUCCAGCAGAAUGAAAGCUCCCUCCAGAAGAGCAGGAUCUUUGUUCGGUUUUCCUCUGAAUCAUCAUCGUCCCACACUCAGUCGUUCUUCAGUAAACGUGUUUGAAAUCGAUGCACUUCUGUUCUUUCAAAUCAACUACAAAAUCAUCAGCUAAGUGUCUGCAACCGAAGGAAAUCACUGUGAGGUAUCUACAGAGCCCGGCUUCUCAAAUCACGAUCCAGAAAUCAGGGUCCAUGCAGGAGACAAAUGGUACACUCAAAUGAGAUGAGUGGGGAGAGUUUAAAGAAGAAAGCAUUUAGAAGGCCUUGGACAGAGGGAGAUUGGUUCAAGACAGCAGAGUAGAAGGACGUAUGCUCACUCCCUAUUGCAAGAACACCGGAAUCACAAUUAACUGCUGAACAAUCAUCAGUAGGAAGACACUGGAACUCACCAAGAAAGAUGCCCCACAUACAAGGACAGGGGAGAAGCCACAAUGAGAUGGUAGGAGGGGCACAAUAACAAUAAAAUCAAAUCCCAUGGCCACUGGGAGGGUGACUCAAAAACUGGAGAACACUUAUACCACAGAGGUCCACCCACUGGAGUGAA